GCAAAUAUAGUUUAACAAAAACAUUAGAUUGUGAAUCUAAUAUUAGGAGCUUAAACCUCCUUAUAUGCC
ensembl:Mt_tRNA